CCUACGGGGGGCAGCAGUGGGGAAUAUUGGACAAUGGGCGGAAGCCUGAUCCAGCCAUGCCGCGUGUGUGAAGAAGGCCUUUUGGUUGUAAAGCACUUUAAGCGAGGAGGAGGCUCCUGUAGAUAAUACCUACAGUGAGUGGACGUUACUCGCAGAAUAAGCACCGGCUAACUCUGUGCCAGCAGCCGCGGUAAUACAGAGGGUGCGAGCGUUAAUCGGAUUUACUGGGCGUAAAGCGUGCGUAGGCGGCUGAUUAAGUCGGAUGUGAAAUCCCU
rnacentral:rRNA from 1 species